AACAGUCUCUGUGCAGCCCUUGCAGGAACAUGCACCUCCAGGCUUCUGAAUCAGCUGAGGGGGUGGCCCACCAGUUGGGAUCAGCAUACUCUUUCCUGAGGAUGAGGACAGGGGACUUUACCCUUCCUGUCCUAGCAUCCGUCACUUCCAGAAGGAAUCAGGUCCACAACACUGGCAGAAAUAGCUUCUGUGGUCUGUCUUCAUGACUCCCCCACUUCUGGCCAUGCAUGCUCAUGUGUAUCAGAUUGUCCUUGAGGCUGGGCUGCAUGCCAGCAUGUUAUCCCCAGUGCCAAUCACAGAGGCUAAGAAAACAGACUGCUGACUGAUGAAGAUUCAGGUCUAUAAAUACAA